AGUUUGAAUAAAACAAUCAAAACUGUCCAGCAAGAUGAUGCAUUCAUGGGUCAUUAGAUAACUGCAUAAUGAUUUCAAUAAUUGGAAGGAUAUCUAAUCUCCUUGCAAUAAUUACCUUCCAACUUAAUUUGACUGCUUGUAGAUUCAAUUCUCACAUAAGAUUGAUGAGCUAUGUAAGUGAAACAAGUUAAUAGUAACAUGCACUCUCACAUGCACCUCAAUCCAAUGCUGCCAUCUUAUGUGCAGCGCUCAUGAAUGCAGCAUUCCAUCAUGAGUACAGCACAUUGCCAAACUUGUCUGUCGUACAUUAUUUACGAUUAUGUCUAGUUUACACACAAAUUUACAUAUAUUUCAAUGCACAAUUACAUCCAUAACAUGGAAAUUUUAAAAAAAUAAUUCUAUAUUCCAUAUAAGACUAAGGAUUUUUUUUUUUUGGAGGUGGGAUAUUCGGGUUGUAUCUUUCGCGCGAAAAAAUGAUUAAUCUUCUUUUAUAAUGUCAACCAUUGAAUUACAUCUUGUAUGGAUCUCAAAGUACUCCAAUAUCUUUCUUCCAUAUAGUGAAACCAACAGUAAUGGAUAUCGAAAUAUUUUACCCUCCUCCU
rnacentral:lncRNA from 1 species